UACAGAGGUCCCAAGCGUUGUUCGGAUUCACUGGGCGUAAAGGGUGCGUAGGCGGUCGGGUAAGUCUGAUGUGAAAUCUCACAGCUUAACUGUGAAACUGCAUUGGAUACUAUCCGGCUCGAGGAAUGGAGGGGAGACUGGAAUACUUGGUGUAGCAGUGAAAUGCGUAGAUACCAAGUGGAACACCAGUGGCGAAGGCGAGUCUCUGGACAUUUCCUGACGCUGAGGCACGAAAGCCAGGGGAGCAAACGGG
rnacentral:rRNA from 1 species